GAUGAACGCUGGCGGCGUGCUUAACACAUGCAAGUCGAGCGAGGGAGCACCUUCGGGUGUGAACUAGCGGCGGACGGGUGAGUAACACGUGGGCAACCUGCCUUACAGAGGGGGAUAGCCUUCCGAAAGGAAGAUUAAUACCCGAUAGCAUAAUGAUUCCGCAUGGUUUCAUUAUUAAAGGAUUCCGGUAGAGGAUGGGGAUGCGUUCCAUUAGGUUGUUGGUGAGGUAACGGCUCACCAAGCCUUCGAUGGAUAGGGGUUCUGAGAGGAAGGUCCCCCACAUUGGAACUGAGACACGGUCCAA
rnacentral:rRNA from 1 species